UAUCUCUAUGUAACUAUAAGAUUUUAAAAUAAACUAGCUAGUUAAUACACAGCUGUGUCCGUGGCAAUGUUUGUGUGACCGAGAUAAAAAGUAGCCAUCUUGAAUAUUACGUGCAUGCUAAAUUUCAUAAGUAUUAGUUGAGUUGUUAAGGCGCACCGAAGUUAUAAAUAAACAAAUAAACACACUUUUAUUUUUACACUGUUUACUAGUAGUUCAGUUAAUCUGGACCUUAACACUGGUCGGUUCAAGAAUUAUGUGAUUGAUUGUAGUUUUUUUUUUUCUUUUUAUCAAUAUGAAGUUUGUGAGUAUCAUAAUUUUUUUGUUGUAAUCUCGACUUUUAUUUAAAAAAAAGAAUCAGCUGUGUUUUUUGCCUGUUCUUCUCAGUCGAAACUGCAAUACAAACUGGGCGGUAGCUUAAAAAAAAGAAGCGGAAAUGUGCAGCCAAUGUCUGAUAUGAGUCUUUCGAACACAGAUGGUCAACGGUGAGCUGGAGUAUCUCCGCCUUCUCCAGCUUGGCGCUGCCCUGCUUCUCGCAGGCGGCCGGCACCAGUCGCUUCAGCUCCGUCAGCGAGGUGUUGAUGCGGUCGCGCCUCUUCUUCUCG